rnacentral:rRNA from 1 species
CAGCGCCACGAGUGGCAAUCACGAUUAUUGGGCCUAAAGCGUCCGUAGCCGGUUCGGUAAAUCCUUUGUGAAAUCGCCAGGCUUAACCUGGCGGCGUGCAGGGGACACUGCCGAACUCGAGACCGGGAGGAGUUAGAAGUAUUUCUGGGGGAGCGGUAAAAUGCUAUAAUCCCAGAAGGACUACCUAUGGCGAAGGCAUCUAACUAGAACGGAUCUGACGGUGAGGGACGAAAGCCAGGGGAGCGAACCGGAUUAGAGACCCGAGUAGUCC